GACGAACGCUGGCGGCGUGCUUAACACAUGCAAGUCGAACGGAAAGGCCCUGCUUUUGUGGGGUUCUCGAGUGUCGAACGGGUGAGUAACACGUGAGUAACCUGCCCUUGACUUUGGGAUAACUUCAGGAAACUGGGGCUAAUACCGGAUAGGAGCUCCUGCUGCAUGGUGGGGGUUGGAAAUUUUCGGCGGUUGGGGAUGGACUCGCGGCUUAUCAGCUUGUUGGUGGGGUAGUGGCUUACCAAGGCUUUGACGGGUAGCCGGCCUGAGAGGGUGACCGGCCACAUUGGGACUGAGAUACGGCCCAGACUCCUACGGGAGGAAGCAGUGGGGAAUAUUGCACAAUGGGCGGAAGCCUGAUGCAGCGACGCCGCGUGCGGGAUGACGGCCUUCGGGUUGUAAACCGCUUUCGCCUGUGACGAAGCGUGAGUGACGGUAAUGGGUAAAGAAGCACCGGCUAACUACGUG
rnacentral:rRNA from 1 species